rnacentral:rRNA from 1 species
GGGUUGUGAGGUUAAGCGACUAAGCGUACACGGUGGAUGCCCUGGCAGUCAGAGGCGAUGAAGGACGUGCUAAUCUGCGAUAAGCGUCGGUAAGGUGAUAUGAACCGUUAUAACCGGCGAUUUCCGAAUGGGGAAACCCAGUGUGUUUCGACACACUAUCAUUAACUGAAUCCAUAGGUUAAUGAGGCGAACCGGGGGAACUGAAACAUCUAAGUACCCCGAGGAAAAGAAAUCAACCGAGAUUCCCCCAGUAGCGGCGAGCGAACGGGGAGCAGCCCAGAGCCUGAAUCAGUGUGUGUGUUAGUGGAAGCGUCUGGAAAGGCGCGCGAUACAGGGUGACAGCCCCGUACACAAAAAUGCACAUGCUGUGAGCUCGAUGAGUAGGGCGGGACACGUGGUAUCCUGUCUGAAUAUGGGGGGACCAUCCUCCAAGGCUAAAUACUCCUGACUGACCGAUAGUGAACCAGUACCGUGAGGGAAAGGCGAAAAGAACCCCGGCGAGGGGAGUGAAAAAGAACCUGAAACCGUGUACGUACAAGCAGUGGGAGCACGCUUAGGCGUGUGACUGCGUACCUUUUGUAUAAUGGGUCAGCGACUUAUAUUCUGUAGCAAGGUUAACCGAAUAGGGGAGCCGAAGGGAAACCGAGUCUUAACUGGGCGUUAAGUUGCAGGGUAUAGACCCGAAACCCGGUGAUCUAGCCAUGGGCAGGUUGAAGGUUGGGUAACACUAACUGGAGGACCGAACCGACUAAUGUUGAAAAAUUAGCGGAUGACUUGUGGCUGGGGGUGAAAGGCCAAUCAAACCGGGAGAUAGCUGGUUCUCCCCGAAAGCUAUUUAGGUAGCGCCUCGUGAAUUCAUCUCCGGGGGUAGAGCACUGUUUCGGCAAGGGGGUCAUCCCGACUUACCAACCCGAUGCAAACUGCGAAUACCGGAGAAUGUUAUCACGGGAGACACACGGCGGGUGCUAACGUCCGUCGUGAAGAGGGAAACAACCCAGACCGCCAGCUAAGGUCCCAAAGUCAUGGUUAAGUGGGAAACGAUGUGGGAAGGCCCAGACAGCCAGGAUGUUGGCUUAGAAGCAGCCAUCAUUUAAAGAAAGCGUAAUAGCUCACUGGUCGAGUCGGCCUGCGCGGAAGAUGUAACGGGGCUAAACCAUGCACCGAAGCUGCGGCAGCGACACUAUGUGUUGUUGGGUAGGGGAGCGUUCUGUAAGCCUGCGAAGGUGUGCUGUGAGGCAUGCUGGAGGUAUCAGAAGUGCGAAUGCUGACAUAAGUAACGAUAAAGCGGGUGAAAAGCCCGCUCGCCGGAAGACCAAGGGUUCCUGUCCAACGUUAAUCGGGGCAGGGUGAGUCGACCCCUAAGGCGAGGCCGAAAGGCGUAGUCGAUGGGAAACAGGUUAAUAUUCCUGUACUUGGUGUUACUGCGAAGGGGGGACGGAGAAGGCUAUGUUGGCCGGGCGACGGUUGUCCCGGUUUAAGCGUGUAGGCUGGUUUUCCAGGCAAAUCCGGAAAAUCAAGGCUGAGGCGUGAUGACGAGGCACUACGGUGCUGAAGCAACAAAUGCCCUGCUUCCAGGAAAAGCCUCUAAGCAUCAGGUAACAUCAAAUCGUACCCCAAACCGACACAGGUGGUCAGGUAGAGAAUACCAAGGCGCUUGAGAGAACUCGGGUGAAGGAACUAGGCAAAAUGGUGCCGUAACUUCGGGAGAAGGCACGCUGAUAUGUAGGUGA